rnacentral:lncRNA from 1 species
UUGUCACUCAUUUGGGGUUCAUCUUUGGGGUUCACUUGUGAUGAUUGUUAUUACUUUGGGGUUCAUUUGUGACGGUUGUCACUCAUUUGGGGUUCAUCUUUGGGGUUCAUUCGUGACGGUUGUCACUCACUUGGGGUUCAUCUUUGGAGUUCAUUUGUGGUGAUUGGUUAUACAUAUCGGGGUUCAUUCUGGAUAUUUGGUAAUUUUGUUGGGGUUCUUGUCCUGAUAACCUUUUUCUUUGGUGUACGCUGGUUAGCGAUUGUUAUUGUUAGGAGUCAGAUGUAAGUCCAUGUAUUGGCAUUCUAUUUCCUCUUGGUUAUUGUCAGGAGUCGGGUGUAAGUCCAUAUAUUGGCAAUCUGUUUCCUCUUGGGGUGUUUCUUUUGACGUCUCAGCGUUUCCUUUUUGGUGUCUUGUUUCGGCGUGCGUUAGCCGAGCUACGAGUGCUCUGAUUCUCCUCUGGAUAGAGAAGAUACGUAGGCAUAAGAUGUGAUGUCUUAGCGAGCAUGCCUCCCUUUCCCCGAACUACGUCGACUCUGAUGUUUGUUUCUGACAAACUACGUAGGCCCAUGAUGUGACAUCCUGCCGAGUCCCCUUCCUCCGUUUUUUCUCUUCCCUACCUGUUUAUCAUUCCAGUUU